UGGGGAAUCAUAGUCAAUGGGCGAAAGCCUGAUCCAGCAACGCCGCGUGCGCGAUGACGGCCUUCGGGUUGUAAAGCGCUUUUAGAGGAGAUGAGAAAGGACAGUAUCCUCUGAAUAAGCCUCGGCGAACUACGUGCCAGCAGCCGCGGUAAAACGUAGGAGGCUAGCGUUAUCCGGAUUUAUUGGGCGUAAAGCGCGUGCAGGCGGUCUGGUAAGUUGGAUGUGAAAGCUCCUGGCUUAACUGGGAGAGGUCGUUCAAUACUGUCAGACUAGAGAAUGGGAGAGGGAGGUGGAAUUCCGGGUGUAGUGGUGAAAUGCGUAGAUAUCCGGAGGAACACCAGUGGCGAAAGCGGCCUCCUGGACCACUUCUGACGCUAAGACGCGAAAGCUAGGGUAGCAAACG
rnacentral:rRNA from 1 species